rnacentral:rRNA from 1 species
UACAGAGGUCCCAAGCGUUACUGGGAAUCACUGGGUUUAAAGGGUGCGUAGGUGGUCCGUUAAGUCAGUUGUGAAAUCCCCGGGCUCAACCCGGGAAAUGCUUCUGAUACUGGCGGACUUGAGGCCAGUAGGGGUCACUAGAACUGACGGUGGAGCGGGGAAAUGCGUAGAUAUCGUCAGGAAUGCCGGUGGUGAAGACGGGUGACUGGGCUGGUUCUGACACUGAGGCACGAAAGCGUGGGGAGCGAACGGG